rnacentral:lncRNA from 1 species
GUUGCACAAGCAGAAUUUAUACUCAAGAAAAUUGCUGUAGAUGUAGAUAUGAGUCACUAACUCAGACAUGAUUGCUCAAGUAGAGAAUUUCUUCAAGAGUCAGUGACUAAACAGAGUUAGACAAAGAAGAGUAAAAAGCUGAAGUCUUAAUCUUACGGCAUUCCUAUAUUUAAGAAGCCAGAGAAAGAAUCAAGAUCAAGGAAUAUCAGCAAGUCAUGGGAAAAUGAACCUGAGGCACAGAACAGGUGGAAAAGCUGCAAGAAAGGAUAAAAAAUAAGGAUUCAAUGCUGAGAAAGGAGAAUAUUCUACUAGACAGAACAAUGAUCAGAAUACUAGAGAUUACUCUAAAAGGUACUUAAACCUAGGAGUAAAUUUAACCAAGGAGGUGAAAGAACUGUACAUUGAAAACUAUAAGAUACUGUUGCAAGAAAUUGGAGAAGUCACAAAUAAGUAUAAAUAUAUUCUAUGUUCACAGAUUGGAAGAAUUAAUAUUGUCGAAGUGCCCAUAUUGUCUAAAGCAAUCUAUAGAUUC